UCGGCGGAAAUGCAUGCGCAUGCGCAUGCGCAUGCACUUCAGUGUGCACCCGCGCAACUGCGUGGUCCUGCUGUUCAGGUUUUCCAGAGCUUCUCAGGUAACUUGGCGGUCCCAGAUGUGAGACCUGCAGGCAAAUAGCAGUGGCAGACAGACGGGCGCGAUGAAUGGCGGCAGUGACAUUCCUCAGGCAGAGGUAGGCGGCUGUAGGCGGAAUAUGGGCAGCACCUGGCCCGAUUCUACGUGAGUGCGGCUCCGGCCCGGCUGCCCUCCCACGCCCCCAGCUGGAUCCCGAAGCCCUCUCUAGUCUGACUUCGGCCAAGCGCAGCUUCGGCUUGGGUCAGCCGGGUAAGAGGGUUUGAGGAAGCCUGCUGGGUGGUUGUGGACGUGUGCGGCGCGAGAGACGGAGCCCAUGAUGCCAGCUCGCAAGCGCGUUAGCCCAGCGUCCAUCGGAAUUAUUUUGUAUAUAUCCGGGAUCUCUUGUCUCUGUGGCGCUGGGUCGUCUGGCUGCAGAACUCAGCUGCAAUAGGUUGAAAGACGAGAAUAGUGGUGCCCUUUCCAGGGCUUCUUUGAGGAAGAAUUCUUUUUUGGGCUUCUUUGAGGAGGAAUUAUUUGCCAGUCCUAUAACUAAAACUUUUUUAUUGUGGACAGUAAGAUGUUUAAUUAUAAGGAAAGAGAGCAAUUAUUGCAUAGUUGAAGAAAAAGGGAGAGUAUCAUGAAGAAAGAAGGGAAAAGAAAUACAAUGAAUCGUGGGGUCUUUUGAAGCCUGUUUUUAGAAAAAUCCUGCUUGAUGGAGAUGUUGUUGUCCUGGCAUUGUGGAAAGUGUCUUUGAUGUUUGCCUCACUGAAAAAAUUGGUAUUGCAAGAAUAAAGUUUCAGCAACUUGUCGAUACUAGGGCCCCCGGGUAUUAACCAAGAGGAUGAAAGCAAGAGCAAGAUGACCGAAUUUGCUAAACUUGGGUUUUUAAAUUAAGACUGGAAGACUAUCGAAGAACUUUUGAAAUUUUAGAGUUUGUAAUCCCUUCGUGUCAUAGUCAAUGAAGGCUGAUUAGUGGAAGAUUAAUUUUCUUUCCUCAAGACUUUCUGGGAGAUCACUGGCCGUGAUCGUCAGCGGGACCUGUGGAGAAGAGUUGAGAUAGUCCUUGGUUAUUUAUUCCAUCUCAGAAGGCCCCUUGUCUCUGCCAGACUUUCUGGGAGAUCACUGGCCGUGAUCGUCAGCGGGACCUGUGGAGAAGAGUUGAGAUAGUCCUUGGUUAUUUAUUCCAUCUCAGAAGGCCCCUUGUCUCUGCCAGUUAACCCGAGCUUCUCAGGUAACCUGGCGGUCUGAGAUGUGAGACCUUCAGGCAAAUACCAGUGACAGACAGACGGGCGCGACAAAGGAUGGCAGCGACAUUCCUCAGGCAGAGGCAAUGCCUUCACAAAGCUCAAAAGAGAAAAGGUUCAAAAAUACAGCAAAACGAUUUCUUGUCUAUUCCACUACAACCCCCCAACUACAUGAAAAUUGAAAUAAUAGCGUAAGUGAAAAUGAGAACUGUGGAUGAAGAUAGAGGAGAUUCUCCACCAUGGAGGAAAUGAGUCUCUGAGAGAGCACUGCCCUUGAUCCUCAGCAGAAACUUGGGGGAGAGGUGGAGAAAGUCCUUGUGUCCUCAUGAGCCCACCCCAGGCCCCUUGGCUCUGGUGAGUGGUGACCACUCUCAAACACCUGGGCUCCAGCCACACAAUCUCCUUUCUCUUCGGGUGUCCAUGUACAUUGAAAUCUCAGAGUUCCGGCUUCUUCUGCAGAUUCAAAGAGACAGGACCUGUGAGAUGUUACUGAAAGAAGAGGGUGGAUUCUUCUGGAACACUGCGCUGUCUUCAUUUUGAACUCUGAAACUGUGAAACCAAGAUAUGAGAAUAGUUUCUGGGACAUCAGUGGCUGUGAUCCUCAGCAGGACCUGUGGAGAAGAGUUGAGAUAGUUCUUGGUUCUUUAUUCCCGCUCAAAAAACCUGUUGCCUCUGCCAGUUAGAAAGACCUAUUUACGGUGAGAACAACCCAGGAUUGGAGCUCGCAUUGAAUCCGCAACGAUCCACAAGAUUGAUAGAAGUUCUACUCUGUCACCACCUAAGAAUCAACAUCUGGCUGGGCGCGGUGGCUCACGCCUAUAAUCCCAGCACUUUGGGAGGCCAAGGCGGGUGGAUCACGAGGUCAAGAGAUCGAGACCAUCCUGGUCAACAAGGUGAAACCCAGUCUCUACUAAAAAUACAAAAAAAUUAGCUGGACAUGGUGGUGCGUGCCUGUAGUCUCAGGUACUCAGGAGGCUGAGGCAGGAGAAUUGCUUGAACCCAGGAGACGGAGGUUGUGGUGAGCCGAGAUCACGCCAUUGCACUCCAGCCUGGGUAACAACAGCGAAACUCCAUCUCGAAAAAAAAAAGGAAUCAACAUCUAACUUACAGUACUAUUUAAAUUUCCCCAAUUGUCCAAAAGAAUGUCCUUUUAGCUGUUUUUAAAUCCAUCCAAUCAGGUUUUAUGCAUUUUGUUUCUAUGCUUCUUUAGUCUCUUUUAAUCUAGAACAUUCUCACUGACUUGCUAUGAUAUUUUUUUAUGUUUUUUGAAUUUGUCAUGCAUGAAGCUCCAAAAAUGAAAAUUCUUAGCUUGGUGUGUACUAGGAAUUGAAAGGAAGUCAGUAUAUCAGGUUUUUCUGCAUCACAUGAUACCCUUUCUGCCCCACCUCUUCAUCCAGCCAUUACUGAGGUGACCAGGUCCAGACAGUUUCUCACUAGUUUCAUUCAGGUGUACACAGUGUCUUUUUUUCAUAUCUAUCUUUCCAGUACCUUCCUCUUUCCGGCACUGGGCUUCUUUGAGCUGGUGGAAUAAGACGCCUGCAGAAAUCUUCUCAGCACCCAUACAUCUGGAAACCAAAAUUGGGAAGACUUCAUGCCAAUAGGAUAACUUUUUAACAACUGGGGAUGGUGGCAAAUGGAUAAAUGCUUCAUUUCAUCUUCUAGGCAGAGAGUACUAAAAAACAUUUCAUAUUUGGGGGGAAAUGGUGGAAACAAACUUUUUUUCCAGAGAAAGUCAUAGACGUUGGACCCUCAUAAUGGGAGGCGAAAUCUCUUAUUGGGCAGAUCACAGUAAAGAGCCAUUGCUGGAGAACACUGACAUUGAUCCUCAGGAGGAUCUGGGCAGAGAAGUAGAGAACAUUCCUGCAUGAACCUGCCCCACACUGGGCUGCUUGGCUCUGCCAGGUAAUAGUAAGUGGCCAACACUGUUACAGCUUUGCCCAUCCACUCCCACGAUGUUCUGUGAAGAUGGUUCAAGUGUGAAGAGAUGUCUCCCUGAUCUCAAUGUCUGUCUGCAAUUGAGGGAGAUGACCAUACUCCUCAUUGUUGAGAAGUUCCUCUAUAGGAUCCCCAGAGCCUCCUAACAGCAUGAUCUCUCCUCACCCUUUCCCCUACACGUGGUCAUUUUAAAAACCACCAAAUUUCCCAGGAUUUGGCUCUUCCUUUAAGGGGGAAAAGAGGAAGUGGUCAUCCCCAUGAAGGCCCAAGGAACUUGAUGGGAGGCAUCCAGAAAUCAAGGAGAAUAAACCUUCUUGGGACUCCAGGAGUGGGUUAUAAGGUCCCUGGAAUGUUUGAGAAGACAUUAGGUACAGUGUCCUUCUAUAGCAUGUUGUUGACGUCAGAGACUCUGAGACAAAAUCCUUACCCAAUCUCCGAUGACUCACUGUGCUGAAAUCUUAGAUAGCUGUUUACAGCCACACAGGGCCCAUCUCAGGUGUCAUUUUGAUCGCUCAUCCUCUCUUCCCGUGUUCACUGUCACAGCAAACUCCAACCUUACUCAUGGGAGAAACAGUGUCUCUGAAACUUUGAUUCACAUGGACACCAAGAGAAAGGAGAGGGUAUAGCUAGAGCCCAGGCGUGUGACAGACAGAUGACAGCAGCCCUCACCUGGCAGAGCCAAGGGGCCUAGCGUGGGGCAGGUUCGUCAAGGACUUUCUCUACCUCUCUCCCCGAUCACCCUGAGAAUCAAGGUCAGUGCUGUCCCAGAAUCUUUAAAGACAAAAAAAGAUUACCUUCUAGAGCUAAUCUCUUUUCCAAGAAUCCCCACCUUAAUUUUUUUAACCAUUGUACAAAUUUGGAAAAUGUACAUCUUCCAGGUAGAUUCUUGACAGUGGAGAAAAAGCUUGAGAGGCAUAAAGACUUGGCUUUUCAAUCACGAUUCCUCAUUCCAUCAUCCUUGUCUAUGCAUUUCCUGGUAACUCAGUCCACAGCCUGGUACCUCUCCCACUGUCAUUUUGGUGUGCUACAGACACAGACCUGCAAACGGCUUUGGUUGUGACUGAGUUUCUUCCUGAUACCUGAGUCUUUCUCACCCUGCAAGGAAAGCUUGCUGGGAGGAACCUGGAAUCAGAAAUGAAGUCAGAGGGCAUGAUUGACAGGGACUGUUUAAAUGCUGCAACUCAGAGAUUCACACAGAAGACCAGACAGAAUUCUGAAAAGUUGCCCAGAGGAAGCAAAAAUGUCAGAGCUACAGGUGAGUUGAAAAGGCACAGCCUUCAAUAAUCUCAAGUCACAUAAACAAAGAAACACUAGAUUUUAUAAGAUGAAAAGGUGAGCAUUUCUACUGUGACUGCUUUACUGAGAGUUGUAUAUUUAUGGAUUAGAGACCCUGAGAGUAUGGAAUCUGAGAUACUUGUGAGGUGUGGGGUGUGGACCCUGGACCAGUGUAACCAUCUCUGAGUGUGUGAUGGUGUCUGAUGAGAGUGAACUCUGCUGAGAUGAUGUGACUUUAGGGGGGAGGUGGAUGACCCACCAGAAUGGGCAGGUGUGUGAGUGAGUGUAAGGUGAGUUGCUUUAUCUUCAUGACUGUGAAGUGUGUGUGUGUGUGUGUGUGUGUGUGUGUGUGUGAGCACAGCUCAAGUGCUUGAGCAUCUGUAUAUUCAUGUUCAGCAGGUGUGUGCGACUGUGGGUGUAUGUGCUGGGACAUGACUGGGUGUUGAACUGGAAACAUGCACGUGGCCUUCUGUGCAUGUGAAGUUUCCUCCGCACACAGCAGCACGUCUGAUGAAGCAGCUGUGCAGCCUCCCCUGUGUGUCCACGUUGGUCCUGGGUGGCAAAACUGGUGGGGAUUUGAGAACUGGGAGUUACUGAGACUCACGUUCAACCAUUCGUGAGACCAGAAUAUAUGAUCUGUAGAUGUCUCUUUCCAAUAAGUGUGGGGAAGAGGAGUGCAGACCAUGGGGUUGAUGGUUCCUCAGGUGGGGUCUGCACAGAGUGACCACCGGCUUCUGCCUCCCAGCCUCACAUCUCUUCCUGUCCCUCAUCACAGCCUGUCCUUCCCAUUGUAGGACAGUAGGGUGGGCAGAUCCUGGCUUGCUAGCAAAGAACAUUGGAGGCCCUCGUUUCAGAGCCUGGAUCACCCAAAACCAGGGAACAAGUGUAGUCUUAGUUAAGACAGAGCUUACAGUGGAUAGUAAUAAGAAAAAUGCAGGAGGCUGGGGCAGGAGAAUUGCUUGAACCCAGAGGGCAGAGGUUGCAGUGAGCUGAGAUCAUGCCACUGCACUCUAUCCUGGUGACAGAGUGAGACUCCAUCUCAAAAAAGAAAAAAAAGAAAACGAAAAAGAAAGAUGUGUAGGAUCACUGACUCAUGCCUACAAUCUCACCACUUUGGGAAGCCAAAAUGGGUGAAUAACUUAAAGCCAAAAGUUUGAGACCAGCCUGAGCAUUAUAGUGAGACUCAGUCAAAAACUUUAAAUAUCAGAUGGGCAUAGUGUUGGUCACCUGUCAUCCCAGCUAUUUAGGAGGCAGAGGCAGGAGGAUCCUGCAGCCCAGGAGUUCAAGGCUUCAGUGAGCUAUAAUUGUACCACUGUACUUCAGCCUGGAUGAAAGAGCAAGACCCUGUCUCGAAAAAACACACACAAAAAACACUUGUCAUCAUUGCAGAAAUCAAUCAUUCCCUCCAUUUAUGUCCCUGACCCAAACUUUUCAUGUGUGCAAGUCCCGGGGCUGUGCUCUCAGCAACAUGGCCCCUUCCGGGAAGGACGUCCAUGGCCUGUGAUGAUUGUGAUGCAUGCACCUCCCGCACAGGAUUUCAUGUUAUUUUAUUGUUUCCCUCUCUCUCUUUCAACAAGUAUUUUUUUUUUCUCACUGGCGUGAAUUUAUCUACUGUUACAUCCUCAAGUCUUGUCUUCACAGUUUCAGAGUUUAAAAUGAUCACAGGUCAGUGUUCACAAGGACUCUCCCUGUUCUACUGAGUAACCCCCAACAGGCCCUAUACGUGGCAGAGAUCAGGGUAAAAGUUUCACAUAUAUUAAUUCAUCUGUUAGUGUGCAAACUCUAUAAAGUAAAAAUCCCUGCUUAUCCUCCUUGUCCUGGUGAAACUGAGUCAGGGAGAGUUCAAAUAAUGGAUCUAACAUGGCACUGCUGAUAAGGGGCAGAAUCAGAACUGGAAUCCAGGCAGCCUGGCUCCUGAAUGCUUGCUUUUACCUAUGGGUCCCCCUUUUCUUCAGGAAAGCAGGGCCCUGACUGUGCUAGAGUGGGAAGGGGGAGGCCUCAAAGUCUGUCCAUUGAUUCUAAACUGCUACACCAUAGGAAUCUGUUAUACGAGGGGAGGCUGCACCUUGCCCAGCCCCUCACCCACUCUCAAACCCCUGGCAGGUGCUGUCCGUACACACAGCCUGUGUCCUUGUCUAUUGGCUCUUGUGUGAGAAUCCGAGGGAUACCAAUGCUCUCUUUUAUGUAAUGGUAAAUAGCAAAUACUGUUACCGCUUUGCCCAUCUACUCCCACUAUGUUGUAUGAGGAUGCUGCGAGUGUGUAGAGAUGUCUCUGUGACCUCAGUGUGUGUCUCGAUGGAGGAAGAUGACCACGCUCCCUGUUGCUGAGGAAUCCCUAUUCCUGUGUGACCAUGGCAUUCUGGUAACAGAAUGAUCACUCCUCACCCCUUCCUCUACACUUGGUCGCUAAAACCACCAAAUUUUCAAAGAUUUGGCUGUAUUUUAAUGGGGAAAAGGUCAAAGUGAAACAAGGACACAAGUGACACAAUAAGUGAGUCACAAGGCCACUGGAAUGUCUGAGAUGACAUAAUGAGAACAUCCUCUGCAGCCCAUAAUUUACGUCAGACACUCUGAACCAAAACUAUUCCUUCAUUUUAGAUGACUCACUGCAGUAAAAUGUUAGGUAGCUGUUUACAACCACACAGGCAUAAUUGGCUUCGGGGAGAAACUGCAAUUUGAGGAAAGUCAGUUGAAAUAUCUUAAUUCUUCACUCAUUCUAAGGAUGUUUAUUGUGUCUGAAUACUGUGCCUGACUUUGUACAGGAUAUACUGAAGAAACCACAGGAAAAAGUAACCAAAUCUGCACCUGAAAUUUUGUCAUUGUUGUUUUUCGAGAUAAGGUUUUACUCUGUCAUUCAGGCUGGAGUGCACUGGUGCCAUUAAGGCUCACUGCAGCCUCAACCUCCUGAGCUCAAAAAAUUCUCCUGCCUCAUUCCACCAAAUAGGUGAAACCACAGGUGUUCACCACCGUGCCCAGCUAAUUUCUGCAUUUUUUAUAGAGAUGGAGGUUUGCCAUGUUGCCCAAGCUGGUGUCAAACUCCUGAGGUUAAGCAGUCCACCCACGUCACCCUCCCAAGUUGCUGGCAUUACAAAUGUGAGCUGCUGUGCUUGGCCUGUACUUGAAAAUUUCAAUCCAAAACAGAGAGAAUCACUGGAGUUCAAUGAUUUCCUCAAAGAAGCACCUUUUGUCAUAUUUCAAAAGAACUGCCAGAUUUUUCCAUUUUAUGUGGGCGGAAUCCUGGGACUCCUUUUUAGAGAUACAUUAUCAUAGUUGUAGAUCAGAAAAUAUGUAGUUUAUUGCUGGAAUGAACACAAUUCAUUCACAUGGACACAGGGAGCUGACCCUGCUUUGCUGCUGCUACGGUUGGCAUUACAGCAUAGGAAACCUUCCCAACACAUAUUUUCAUAAAGUAAUCAUUUAUUCUGAUCUCUCCAGCUUUGCAGGUUUACUGGGCUCAUGUGAGUGGUAGGUCAUGUGGUGAGAGUCACAUUUUCUGAAGGAUCUACAGGCUGGGAUCCCAGGGGAUUCUUCACUUGUUUUGACUUCACACUAAGGGUGGGUGAACACCUGGGGGCUAGCUGGUGAUCUCCUUCCCUAUCUCCCCUCCGAAUUAGUGUCUUGAAUUUUCUGAAAUCAUGAAGACCUCAUAGUUGUUGGACUUAAUCAAUGAUGACUGUCUUCCACCAAAGAAAGGCUUUCAAAAAACCCAAGAAGAAGGUGCAAGGCAUCAUAGGUCUUGGCUUUGAAAAUUGGACAGUGUUACUUCUAUGACAUUAUAUUGACCAAGAUGAGUCACACCGACAGCUCAAAUCAAGGGGAGGGGGCUCCACAAGCUGUGGUUGUUUUGAUUAUUUGUCAUAAUGGGGUCGUUUUUGGAACCAAGUUCCACUCAGUCUUCACUGGCUUACAUACUGUUCACACACCAAGAGCAGUAACCCUGUAAACAACUAUGGAAAGCAAUACCAUUAUAGGAAAAGGCUCAGAGUGAAGUCCAGCGUCUUAUCAUCUAAUCAGGACCUGGUGUCCACGAGGUGACUACAAAUUACCAGGUGUACUUUCUCUGAACAUAUGCACUAAUGGGUCAAAUUAUUGAUGCUAUACACAUCAAACAUGCAAUACUGAAACAGACAUCAGAAGAAUGCAAUUCACACAUCUAUUGUAAGCAUUAUUUGAAAAAGAGAAGAAAAAGAAUUUUACAUCAAAAGGACAAGAAAAUAAGAAAAAGAAUUCUUUGAAGAGGGGCAAAAGAAAAUAGACAGCAGUCACUGGGCCAUGUUAUUGCUUAAACCAGCCAGACACCUAUUUAUUAUUUUAUCUUGGAAUGUUUCUCUGCAGCAAUUGGCUCCACCCUCUAUUCUCAGCUUCUUAGAGUUUCUACCAAGAUGGCAGAAUGACAGUCCUUUUUACUUCUCAAGAGCUAUGAUCAUCUGCUUCACAGCAAAUCUGGAGGACCAUGUAGGAGAAACAACACGUUACCUACAAACUAAUGAAGGAUGUUUGAAGAAGGUCCUGUCAAAUAGCCCUUUUUUCCACAUGGCCCAUCCCAGGCUUCAUUUUCAUUAUCCUUAUCUUCUUUUCACGUGUUCAUUGCCACAGCUUGUUCACCACCAGCCUUCCUCAUGGGUAUGCCCCUUUCCUUACCCUCAUUUAACCUAGCAUCUGGAUACCUUCAGGUGCCAACACACAGUAAGUUCUCUUCAUGCCUUUCUUCCAACUUUCAUUCCCAUAUGUAAUAAAAUUCCCUCCUCUCACUGGACACUCGGGUGUGGUUUAAAUACACUCUCCUCCUUACACCUUUCUGGUCUCAGUGUUGUUCACUUCUCUAUUUUGUUAAUAGAUCAUAGGCCUCAUCACCUGUAUGGAAUUCAUUUUUUGUGGAAUUAAGCGAUUCUUGAUCUGAGUGGAUGAAAAGAAUCCUGGGACCCAUGGCUUACUAAUCAGUCUAUAUGACUUUAAUUUCAUAUAGACUUUUCCCUUGGGUAGUGGCUACUGCAUUUGAAUAGUUUGCACAGUCCCACGUGUUGGCCCUCUUAGAUAGACACACAGUGAUUGCCCUUUCUUGAAUGGAUUAAGUUUCUUUGUUUAUGUUCUGUCUGGAAGAUCUGUUCAAUGCUGGAAGCGAAAUGUAGAAAUCUCCGGUUAUUAUUGUAUUGAGGCCUGUUUCUCUCUUUAGCUCUAAUAAUACUUUAUAUACCGGGGUGCUCCAGUGUUGGGUGCACAUAUAUUAUUAUAUCCUCUUACUGAAUUGAUGCCUUUGUCAUUAUAUAUUAACCUUAUUGUCUCAGAGUUUUUCUCUCAAAAUCUAUUUUUGUCCAAUAUAAGUAUAGUUACUCCUGUUCUUGUUUCAUUUCCAGUGGCAUGCAGUAUCUUUCUCUAUUCUUUUCUCUUGUCUACGUGUGCUUUUAUAGGUGAAGUGUGUUUCUUGCAGGCAACAGAUCGAUUGCUCUUGUUUCUUCACCCAUUCAGACACUCUGUGUAUUUUGAUUGGAGAGUCUAGUUCAUUUACAUUUAAUGUUAUCAUCAAUAAGUAAGUAAAGACUUAGUCCUGCUAUUUUGUUAUUUGAUGUCUGGUUGUAUUUUGGUCUUCUCUUCUUUUGCUCCCUCUUGUCUUCCCCUACUAAAGAUUAUUUCAUCUGGUGAUAUAGUUUAGUUUCUUAUUUUUUAUUUUUUGUGCAUCCAUUAUAUAUUUCUUGGUUGAAGGUGACCAUGAGGCUUGCAAAUACUAUCUUAUAACUCAUUAUUUUAACCAGAUAACUACUUGGCACUGCUUACAUAAACAAACAAGCAAAAAGAAAACUCAUAGAAACUCUACAACUGACCUUCAUUCCCCUGCUGUUUAACUUUUUGUUGUUUCUACUUAUAUCUUGUGCUGUCUAUAUCUUCAAAAGUUGUAGUUACUAUUUGUAUUGGUUGAUUGUUUCAUCUUUCUAUUUAGGAUAUGAGUAGUUCACACACCACAGUUACAGUGCUACAGUAUUCUGUGUGUUUCCACUAAGAAGUCGGCCGGCAAAUGUGUGGCAGCUGCAUUGUAUGCUAUUUUUUUUCUCUUGGGCUUUUAGGAUCUUUCCUUUGCCCUUGACCUUUAAAAUUUUGAUUGCUAAGUGGCUGGAGGUAGUCGUCUUUGGUUUAAGUCAGCUUGGUGUUCUACAACCCACUUGGACUUGGAUGUUGAUCUCCUUUUCUUAGUUUGGGAAGUUUUCUGUUAUUAUCCCUUUGAGUAAACUUUCUACCACUAUUUCUUUCUCUACUUCUUCUUUAAGGACAAUAAUUCUUAGGUUUGUGCUUUGGAAGCUAUUUUCUAGAUCCUAAAGUCAUGUUUACGUUUUCCCCUUGGUAAAGUAGAGAAAAAGCUAAAAGGGAGUUUGCCUUGCACCUUAGGUACCAGCAUAGCCAGAAGGGAGUAGAGCACCAGGCAGGCUCUUGGGGUUCCUAAUUCCAGGACUUGGUUCUUGAAUGACAUCUAUUUACCUGCUCUGGGCCAGAGGGGAGUUCACUCCCCUGUGGGGUGAGUCCAAGGCCAGGCAGCAUUCACUAUAAGUUGACUUAAGUGCCCUUGGGCCUUAAGGGAACAUCUGUGGUAGUCUGGCAGUACUCUCUAUGGUGGUGGUGGCUAUGGGGUGACAACUGCCUUUGUUGUUUUCUAUCCUUUCCUCUUUUGUCUCCUCUGGCUAUGUAUUUUCAAAUAGGCUGUCUUCAAACUCGCUAAUAUUUUCUUCUGCUUGAUCAGUUCUGCUGUUAAAGACUGAUGCAUUCUUCAGUAUGCCAAUUGCAUUUUUUGAAUUUUAUUUUACUUUAAGUUCUGAGAUACCUGUGCGGAAUGUGCUGAUUUGUUACAUAGGUAAACAUGUGCCAUGGUGGUUUGCUGCACCUGUCAACCUGUCACCUAGGUAUUAAGCCCCGCAUGCAUUAACUAUUUGUCCUGAUGCUCCCCCUCCCUUUGCCCUUCAACAGGCUGCAGUGUGUGUUGUUCCCCUCCCUGUGUCUAUGUGUUCUCACUGUUCAGCUCCCACUUAUGAAUGAGAACAUGCAUUGUUUGGUUUUCUGUUCCUGUGCUAAUUUGCUGAAAAUAAUGUCUUUCAGCUUCAUCCAUGCCCCUGCAAAGGACAUGAUCUCAUUCCUUUUUAUAGCUGCAUUUUGCAGCUCCAGAAUUUCUGUUGGAUUCCUUUUAGUUAUUUCAACCUCUUUGUUAAACUUAUCUAAUAAAAUUCUGAAUUCCUUCUCUGCGUUAUCUUAAAUUUCUUUGAGCUUUCUUAACAUCACUAAUUUGAAUUUUCGGUCUGAAAGGUCACUUACCUGUUUCUCCCUGGUGCUUAUUUGGUUUAUACGCUUUCCUGGAUGUUGUUGACACUAGCAGAUGUCCUUCAGUGUCUGAGAAUUAAAUAGUUAGGUAUUUGUUGUGGUCUUCACUGUCUGGGCUUGUUUGUACCUGUCCUUUUGGGGAAGGCUUUCACGUAUUCAAAAGGACUUGAGUGUUGUGAUCUAACAGGAGAAUUCUCUGGAUUACAAGGCAGAGCUUCUUAUUCUUUUCCCUUUCUUUCUCCCAAACAUACAGCGUGUGUGUGUGUGUGUGUCUGUGUGUGUGCGUGUCUGUGUGUGUGUCUGUGUGUGUGCGUGUCUGUGUGUGUGUCUGUGUGUGUGUGCGUGUCUGUGUGUGUGUGUGUGUCUGUGUGUGUGCGUGUCUGUGUGUGUGUGUCUGUGUGUGUGUGUGUGUCUUCUGAGACACCUAAAGCUGGGGAUGGAGUGAGACAAGCACCACUGUGGCCACUACCACUAUGACUUGAUCUUACCUAAAGUGAGCACAGCACUGGGUCCCCCUGAAGGCCUGCUGUAACCAAUACCUGCUUACAGCCUAGGUUCACUCAAGGCACAGAGCCCUAAGGCUCUAGAAUUAGCAUGCAGCAAAGCCAGCCACUUCUGUGUGCUUUUCUUCAGGGUGGUGAGUUCCCACAGGCCUGGGGUGGUUCCAGAGGUGCCACCUGGAAGUCAAGGACUAAAGUAAAAAAUCUUAGAGGUCUUUGUGGUGUUUUAUUGUACACUCAAACCCCAAGAUUCAGUUCUUUCUACUCUCCCCGUCAUUUCCAAAGGCAGUUGUCACCCCAUAGCCACCACCACCAUAGAGAGUACUGCCAGACUACCACAGAUGUUCCCUUAAGGCCCAAGGGCACUUAAGUCAACUUAUAGUGAAUGCUGCCUGGCCUUGGACUCACCCCACAGGGGAGUGAACUCCCCUCUGGCCCAGAGCAGGUAAAUAGAUGUCAUUCAAGAACCAAGUCCUGGAAUUAGGAACCCCAAGAGCCUGCCUGGUGCUCUACUCCCUUCUGGCUAUGCUGGUACCUAAGGUGCAAGGCAAACUCCCUUUUAGCUUUUUCUCUACUUUUACCAAGGGGAAAACGUAUUGCCCAUAGCCACCACAGCAAGUCAUGUGCUGAGUCCCAUCAGAAGCCAGCAGAUCUCGGAGACUCAGCAGAGGCCCUCCGCAUAGUGCCUGGGUAUUGCUGGUGGUUAUUCAGAGCCAAAGAGCUCUUCAUUAGCAGGUGAUAAAUCCUUCCAGGAAUGGGUCCUUCCUUUAAGGGCAGCACGUUCCCUUCUGGUCCAGGCUGUGUCUAGAAAGCUCAUCUGGGAGCUAGGGCCUGGAAUGGGGGCCUCAUGACUCUGACUGGUACCCUAUCCUGCUGUGGCUGAGCUGAUAUCCGAGAUGUAAAAUAAAGUCUUCCCCACUGCUCUCUCUCCUCUCCACUCCUCAAGUGAAAGGAAGGGGUCUCUUUUGGAGCCACAGCUGUGCAUCCUGGAGUUAGGGGAAAGGUACUGCCAGCACUCCAUUAGUCACCCAAGCUGCUGUCUCAGCAGGUCUCCAGACCCCCUGAUGCCCAGUCCACUGUCUCUGGCCUGAGUUAAUCCCCAAGACUCACCUAAGAGAUUCUGUCCUUAUGACCUCGACUGUCUUUCAACGUUAUUUGGAAACCCAGAGCACUGUAGCCCUUACUGGUAAGGUUUACAGGAAGUCAAGUUUCAAUUGCUAAGAUCAGGGAUUUUCCUCUGGCUAGGGCUGGCUUAAAUGCUCCCUUCAUUAGUGUGUGUCAGCUGAGCUUAAUCUAAUUUUCUCUUCCUCUGUAACAGGACAGCAAUGACUCCAGUGCCUCACAAUUGCUGUGCUCUCCCUCCCCCAGUACCCAGAGACUCCACGCCACAGCACUGCUGCCCAGAUGAAGGAGUGGCAUUGGCAAUUCAAGACUGUUUUUUCUAUCUCUUUCAGUGAUAUAGAGUUAAAACCAGGUAUCUCUGAGGACUCAGCUGCUUUUUGAUUCAUAUGGAGGUGUUUUCCUGUAUAGAUAUUUGUUAAAUUCACAUCCUUCAGGGGUGUGGGUGAGAUUGGUGAAGGCUUUUAUUUUAUUUUAUUUUUUUAAUUUUGUAUUGGAUUUUAGGUUUUGGGGUACAUGAGCAGAGCAUGCAAGACAGUUGCGUAGGAACACACAUGGCAGUGUGCUUUUCUUUCCUUCUCCCCUUCACCCACAUUUGGCAUUUCUCCCCAGGCUAUCCCUCCCUACCUCCCCCUCCCACUGGCCCUCCCCUUUUUCCCCCAAUAGACCCCAGUGUUUAGUACUCCCCUUUCUGUGUCCAUGUGUUCUCGUUUUUCAUCACCCGCCUAUGAGUGAGAAUAUGCGGUGUUUCAUUUUCUGUUCUUGUGUCAGUUUGCUGAGGAUGACGUUCUCCAGAUUCAUCCAAGUCCCUACAAACGACACAAACUCAUCAUUUCUGAUUGCUGCAUAAUAUUCCAUGGUGUAUAUGUGCCACAUUUUUCCAAUCCAGUCUAUUAUCAGUGGGCAUUUGGGUUGAUUCCAGAUCUUUGCUAUUGUAAACAGUGCUGCAAUGAACAUUCGUGUACAUGUGUCCUUAUAGUAGAACGAUUUAUAGUCUUUUGGAUAUAUACCUAGUAAUGGGAUUGCUGGGUCAAAUGGAAUUUCUAUUUCUAAGGCCUUGAGGAAUCGCCACACUGACUUCCACAAUGGUUAAACUAAUUUACACUCCCACCAACAGUGUAAAAGUGUUCCUUUUUCUCCACAUCCUCUCCAACAUCUGUUGUCUCCAGAUUUUUUAAUGAUCGCCAUUCUAACUGGUGUGAGAUAGUAUCUCAAUGUGGUUUUGAUUUGCAUCUCUCUGAUGACCAGUGACGAUGAGCAUUUUUUCAUAUGAUUGUUGGCCUCAUAUAUGUCUUCUUUCAUAAAGUGUCUGUUCAUAUCCUUUGCCCACUUUUGAAUGGGCUUGUUUGUUUUUUUCCUGUAAAUCUGUUUGAGUUCUUUGUAAAUUCUGGAUAUCAGCCCUUUGUCAGAUGGGUAAACUGCAAAAAUUUUUUCCCAUUCUGUUGGUUGCUGAUCCACUCUAGUGACUGUUUCUUUUGCCGUGCAGAAGCUGUGGAGUUUCAUUAGGUCCCAUUUGUCUAUUUUGGCUUUUGUUGCCAAUGCUUUUGGUGUUUUGUUCAUGAAGUCCUUGCCUACUCCUAUGUCCUGGAUAGUUUUGCCUAGAUUUCCUUCUAGGGUUUUUAUGGUGCCAGGUCUUAUGUUUAAGUCUUUAAUUCAUCUGGAGUUAAUUUUAGUGUAAGGUGUCAGGAAGGGGUCCAGUUUCUGCUUUCUGCACAUGGCUAGCGAGUUUUCCCAACACCAUUUGUUAAACAGGGAAUCCUUUCCCCCUUGCUUGUUUUUGUCAGGUUUAUCAAAGAUUGUAUAGUUGUAGAUAUGUUGUGUUGCCUCUGGUGCCUCUGUUUUGUUCCAUUGGUCUAUAUCUCUGUUUUGGUACCAGUACCAUGCUGUUUUGAUUACUGUAGCCUUGUAGUAUAGUUUGAAAUCCGGUAGUGUGAUGCCCCCCGCUGUUUCUUUUUGCUUAGAAUUGACUUGGCUAUGCGGGCUCUCUUUUGGUUCCAUAUGAAGUUCAUGGUGGUUUUUUCCAGUUCUGUGAAGAAAGUCAAUGGUAGCUUGAUGGGGAUAGCGUUGAUUCUGUAAAUUACUUUGGGCAGUAUAGCCAUUUUCACGAUAUUAAUUCUUCCUAACCAUGAACAUGGAAUGUUUCUCCAUCUGUUUGUGUCCUCUCUGAUUUCGUUGAGCAGUGGUUUGUAGUUCACCUUGAAGAGGUCUCUUAUGUUCCUUGUGAGUUGUAUUCCAAGGUAUUUUAUUUUUUUUGUAGCGGUGAAGCCUUUUAUUCUGCCAUCUUGCAAAGCCUACCCAAAUUUUGGUGAAAUUAAUUUCAUCUGUUGUUUCUUUGUUUCUUGCUCUUUUGGUGUCAUAUUCAAGAUCCCAUGUCAUGUAAUAUUCUUCUAUGGUUCUUCUAUGGUUUUUCUAAAAAAUAUUAAAGUUAUAGAUCUUACAUUUAUUGUGUGAUACAUUUUGAGUUAAGUUUUGUAUGGGGAUUAUGGUAAGGGCCCAACUGCAUCUUUGUGCAUGUGUAUAUCCAGCUUCCCAAAAAUCAUUGGUUGAAAUGAUUGUCCUUUUCCAAUAAAAGCAUCCUGUUACCCUUGUUGAAAGUGACUACCGGCUGGGUGUGGUGCCUCACGCCUGUAAUCCAAGCACUUUGGAGGCCAAGGCAGGUGGACCACCUGAGGUCAGGAGUUCAGGACCAGCCUGACCAACAUGGUAAAACCCUGUCUUUAAAAAAAAAAAAAAUAGGCCGGGUACAGUGGCUCAUGCCUAUAAUCCCAGCACUUUUGGAGGCAGAGGUGGGUGGAUCACAAGGUCAAGAGAUCAAGACCAUCCUGGUCAACAAGGUGAAACCCUGUCUCUACUAAACAUUCAAAAAUUAGCUGGGCAUGGUAGUGCACGCCUGUAGUCCCAGCUACUCAGGAGGCUGAGGCAGGAGAAUUGCUUGAACCCAGGAGGCGGAAGUUGCAGUGAGCCGAGAUCGCACCACUGCACUCUAGCCUAGGUAACAACAGCAAAACUCCGUCUCAAAAACAAAAACAAAACAAAAGACAAAAAAAGAAAAAAGAAAAGAAAAUGACCACCUAUGUACAUGUUUACUUUUUGGCUCUCCUUUGUAUUUGAUUGAUUUCUACAUCUGCCCUUAAGCCAGCACCACACCGUUUUGAUUAUUCUCGUUUCUUAAAGUGGUUAUACUUGUGACACAUUAAAACAGACACUUAUAAAGUCACUUUUAGACAUUACAUAUCUUGGAUCCGACGUUGUUACUUUUUUCACGACUUACAUGAACACUCUUCCUCAUCAACAUGCCUAUAUCUUGAGAAACAGAGAUACAUGCUUUAAUCAGCUAUGCUGGGGAAGAGGUCACCAUGAGAUAGAAGACACUUCUCAGUGUCCAGGAAACACUUCUUGGUCUCUUUCUUUCCAACCAUGACUCCCAUCACAACUCACACUCUCCAUAUUACACUUUUUUUUUUAUUGCAUUUUAGGUUUUGGGGUACAUGUGAAGAACAUGCAAGAUAGUUGCAUAGGUACACAAGUGGCAGUGUGAUUUGCUGCCUUCCUCCCUUCACCUAUAUCUGGCAUUUCUCCCCAUGCUAUGUCUCCCCAACUCCCCACCCCCCGCUGUCCCUCCCCUAUUUUCCCCAACAGACCCCAGUGUGUAGUGCUCCCCUCCCUGUGUCCAUGUGUUCUCGUUGUUCAACACCCACCUAUGAGUGAGAACACUUUCUGCUGUCACCAAUACAGAGUCAUUAAAGAAAGCUUAGAUUCUGUUUUCAUUUCCCUGUAGUUCACUAUCCUCAAAAUAAAUGCUUAGCUGAAGGUGAGUGCCUGUUAUGGUCUAGACUACCUUGCAAAAAGGCUCCGUUUAAGGAGCCAGGCCUUUACCUCCACCUUAGCCUAUGCUGUGCUGCCAGAACAGACUGACUUAUAACAAAUAGAAAGUUAUUUGGCACAAUUCUGGAGGCCGGAUUAUCUAUGAACAUAGUGCUAGCAUGCUUCCAGGGCCUUUGUUCUGCAUCAUUUCAUGGCAGAAAGAGGAAGGGCAAGGAGUGAAAAAAAUCGAGAGAGCAAGAUCGGGCCACACUUGCUUUUAUAAUAAACUUACUCUCACAAUGACUGACCCAAUCCGGUGAAAAGGGCAUUGAUCUCAUUGUAGUGUAGAGCCCUCAUGACAUAAUUACCUUGUAUUUCAUCCCACCGCAGAACACUUGCACUGGCAUUAGCUUUCCAACACAUGAACUUUGGGGCAUAGAUUCAAAACGUAGCAACCACCAAAGGGAAUGGGAGGAAAUAUCACAAAGAUCCACGAGAAAUAAUGUCCUCUUAGUUCUUGCAGUCGUAACUCGGCCUAUUUGCUUACACACUCAUUUCUGUACUCUCUUCACACACAUAUUUUCAGCAUCCUCUCUAUGCCUGUUCCCAUUAAGUUGGCAUCCCCAACUCCCUCAUCAACAUUUCUCUCCACACGACAGAAAAAUUUGCAUUGAAUUUUCAGGUGGGGUAGACACUUAGUAUUCAUUCUUUAUUCCAUUUAGUAGGUAGUUUCUGUUGUCAAAAGAUGAUCCAGAUACUUUCCUCUUUUGUAGCUUCCCAGAGCUCACAGAUAUUUUCAGAACAGAGUGCAAAUCUUUUAUAUUGGCAUUCCAGGUUUUUCUAAUAGAAAUCUGGCCUUGAUGAUGCUUCUUCUGAGAACUUCUUAUCUCAUUCUGUGCUUCCAAAAUAAUGACAUAUUAAUGUAGCAGCAAAACCAUGUUGUGUCAUAUCGCUUCUGUUUUUUAAUACUGUUUGUCACAUUUGCUUAAUUCUCACUUCUCCAUGUAGAUAAACAAGCAUUUUCAUAUUCAGAAUCAUUGUGAACUCCUAUUGAAUUACUCCCAAAGUUAUGUUGUCUCUAUUUAUGGGGAAAGGGUGUGAUUUUAAUAAUUAUUGAGUGGAAAGGGUACAAUUUUAGUAAUUAUUGCGUCCCGUGGAAGAAGAGGUCAUUUGAUGGAAACCUCUUUAAUUUGCAUUCAUUAGUUCAUAGGCAAUACAUUGUUUUCUCCUAAGUGGUUCUCCAGAUGUGCAGCAAAGCAGAUAAUCACGGCUUUUGUAGAGGGAAAAGUACUGUGAUUCGGCCAUCUUGGUAGGAAUACCGAGAAGUUGAGAAUGGAGGGAGGAGCCAGUUGCUGCAGACAAACUCUCCAAAGAAAUAAAAAUAGGUAUCUGGCUGGUUUCAGCAAUGAUAUAAACCAAUGACUGCUGUCUGUUUCCUGUUGCCACUGUAAAAUAGAUUUGUUCAUUGCAUUUUUCCUGUCUGUUUCAGGAUUGUUUGUUGGAUUUUUAUACAGCAGAUAUACAAAUAUCUUUACUGAACAUGUUGAGAGAAAGUGCACCUGAUAAUUUGUACUCACCUCAUGAACACCAGGUCCUGAUUUAGACAAUAAGAUACUGAACUUCAGUUGUUGGCAAACCUGACUCUUGUCCUCUCACUCUCCUGCCCAGACAACAUGCGCUUCACCACUUGCUCCAUUUUCUACACCAACUCCGGUCCCUGGGCUCCGUCUAAGUGCCCAGCUUUGGCGCCCAGCAGGUCAGCUGCACAGCCACUGUCUAUGCAGGCGCUGGGGGCUCUGGUUCCUGCAUGUUCAUGUCCUGCUUCACCAGCUUCCAGGGUGGCACAGGGUCUGGAGACCUAGCCACAGAGAUGGCCGGGGGUCUGGCAGGAAUGUGAGGCAUCCAGAGCAAGAAGGAGACCAUGCAAAGCCUGAACGACCACCUGGCCUCCUACCUGGACAUAGUGAGGAGCCUGGAGCUGGAGAACAGGAAGUCGGAGGGCAAAAUCUGGGAGCACCUGAAGAAGGAAUCCCAGGUCAGAGACUGGAGCCAUGACUUCAAGACCAUCAAGGACCUGAGGGCUCAGAUUUUUGCAAAUACCAUGGACAAUACCCGCAUCAUUCUGCAGAUCAACAAUGUCCAUCUUGCUGCUGAUGACUUUAGAGUCGAGUAUGAGACAGAGCUGGCCAUGUGCCAGUCUGUGGAGAGCAACAUCCAUGGGCUCUGCAAGGUCAUUGAUGACACCAAUGUCACGUGGCUGCAGCUGGAGACAGAGAUUGAGGCUCUCAAGGAGGAGCUACUCUUCAUGAAGAACCAUGAAGAGGAAGUAAAAGGCUUACAAGCCCAGAUUGCCAGCUCUGGAUUGACUGUGGAGGUAGAUGCCCCCAAAUCUCAGGACCUCGCUAAGAUCAUGGCAGACAUCAGGCUCCAUAUGACGAGCUGGAUCGGAAGAAUCCAGAAGAAUUGGACAAGUAUCGGUCUCAACAGAUUGAGAAGAGCACCACAGAGGUCACCACGCAGUCCGCCGAGGUUGGAGCUGCUGAGACGGCACUCAUGGAGCUGAGACAUACGGUCCAGUUUUUGGAGAUUGACCUGGACUCCACGAGAAAUCUGAAGCCCAGCUUGGAGAACAGUCUGAGGGAGGUGAAGGCCAACUACGCCCUGCAGGUGGAGUGGCUCAACGGGAUCCUUCUGCACCUGGAGUCAGAGCUGGCACAGGCCCGGGCAGAGGGACAGUACCAGGCCCAGGAGUGCGCAGCCCUGCUGGACAUUAAGGUCAGGCUGGAGGCUGAGAUCGCCACCUACCACCGUCUGCUGGAAGAUGGUGAAGAGUUCAAUCUUGGUGAUGCCCUGGAUAGCAGCAAAUCCAUGCAAACCAUCCAGAAGCCACCAACCGCCGGUCUGAGACCAAGUGGUGUCUGAGACUGACAUCAAAGUUCUGAGACAUUAAGCCAGCAGAACCAAAAGACCCUUUGAGGAGCAGGAGGCCAAUAAAAAGUUCAGAGGUGAGGCCGGGCGCAGUGGCUCAAGCCUGUAAUCCCAACACUUUGGGAGGCCGAGGCGGGUGGAUCACGAGGUGAACAGAUCGAGACCAUCCUGGUCAACAUGGUGAAACCCCGUCUCUACUAAAAAUAAAAAAUAAUUAGCUGGGCACGGUGGCACAUGCCUGUAAUCCCAGCUACUCAGGAGGCUGAGGCAGGAGAAUUGCCUGAACCCAGGAGGCGGAAGUUGCGGUGAGCCGAGAUCGCGCCAUUGCACUCCAGCCUGGGCAACAAGAGCGAAACUCCAUCUCAAAAAAAAAAAAAGUUCAGAGGUGAAAAGAAAAGAAUACUGCACUUGACUGGAAGCCUGUUCCUGUAUUGUAUUGGUUUCUGUGGCUUUUUAAAACAUAAGCGUUUUUGGUAUGUGGAAACCGUAUGAGCCAGUGGGGGCUAAGUGGAACUCGUUUCCAAAAAUGGCCCCAUUAUGAUGACAAGUCAAAAGGACCACGGUUUGUAGAAUUCCCUCCCCUUAAUUUGAGCUGUCUGUGUGACACCAUGAUCAAUAUACUGUCAUAGAAGUCACACUGCCUGCCUUUCAAAGCUAAGGCCUAUGAUGCCUGGCACCUUCUUCCUGAGACUUUUGGAAGCCUUUUUUUGGUGGAAGCCAAUCAUUGAUUAAGUUGAAUAACUAUGGUACCAUCAUGAGUUCAGGAAAUUCAAGGCACUAAUGAGAAGGUGAGGAAGAGAAGAAAAUAACCAGCCAGACCCCAGGUGUUCAGCCACCCUAGUGUUGAGUUAGACAUGACUGAAGCAUCUUCCAAAAUCUCUGACAAUAGAUCUUUCUGAAAUCAAGACACGCACCGCAUGAUCUGUCACCUACAUGAGUGCACCAAACCUACAAAGCUGACAGAAAUCAGAAUAAAUGAUAGAUUUAAGCCAACGUGUGUUGGGAGCUUUGCUGUGCUGUAAUGCCAACAGUAACAGCAGAAGAGCAGGUGUGUUCAGUGUGUCCAUGCAUAGGAGUUGUGUCCAUUCCACUAAGAAAUCACUUCUUUUCUGAGGUAAAACCACGACCAUUUGUUUACAAAGAGAAAGCUCAGGAUGCUGCCCACAUAAAAUGGAAAAACCUGAAAAUUCUUUUGAAAAACAAAACUGGAUUCUUUAAAGGAAAUCAUUGAACUGUGGUUCUCUAACUAUUGCUUGGAUUGAAAACUUCCGAUGUAAACUUUCUCAACAUUUUCUUUUAAUUCCUUCAGUGCAUCCCACACGAAUCCAAGCAGUUUUGAGACACAAGACAUAUUCUUAGAAUGAGUGAAGAAUUAAGGUAUUUCACUUGAAGUUUGUCCCCAAAACCAGUUAUGCCUGUGUGGUUGUAAACAGAUACCUAACACGUCACUGCAAUGACACAUCUAAGAUGAAGGAAGAAUUUUGGUUUAUAGUGUCUGACAUAAAAUAUGGGUUGUAGAAGAUGUUCAUUUUGUCAUCUCAGACACUCCAGUGGCCUUGUGACACUGCUUGUGUCUCUUGUGUCCUUGUGCCACUUUGUCUUUUUCCCCAUUGAAAUUAAAACCAGAUGAUGAAAAA